rnacentral:sRNA from 1 species
AAUAUGGCCGAAUGCCCGUAUCAGGCAGCGGGAGAACCCAUUUAUGGGGUGAAGCCGCAUAUAUGCGGCGGGGUAUCUUCUUGCCCUAACCCGUCAGCUUAUCUCGCAGGCGUAAGAAG